GACGUAGGGCGCGAGCGUUGUCCGGAUUCAUUGGGCGUAAAGGGUGCGUAGGUGGCGCCGUAAGUCGGGUGUGAAAUUUCGGAGCUUAACUCCGAAACUGCAUUCGAUACUGCGGUGCUUGAGGACUGGAGAGGAGACUGGAAUUCAUGGUGUAGCAGUGAAAUGCGUAGAGAUCAUGAGGAAGACCAGUGGCGAAGGCGGGUCUCUGGACAGUUCCUGACACUGAGGCACGAAGGCCAGGGGAGCAAACGGG
rnacentral:rRNA from 1 species